rnacentral:rRNA from 1 species
UACGGAGGGGGCUAGCGUUGCUCGGAAUCACUGGGCGUAAAGGGUGCGUAGGCGGGGCUUUAAGUCAGGGGUGAAAUCCUGGAGCUCAACUCCAGAACUGCCUUUGAUACUGAAGAUCUUGAGUUCGGGAGAGGUGAGUGGAACUGCGAGUGUAGAGGUGAAAUUCGUAGAUAUUCGCAAGAACACCAGUGGCGAAGGCGGCUCACUGGCCCGAUACUGACGCUGAGGUGCGAAAGCGUGGGGAGCAAACAGG